CAGGAGUGAAGCAGCUUCUUGAUCUUGUGGAGAGUCCAGACUAUAAACUGGAGACUCUGUGGUGGAAGUGAUGAUAAACAGGAGGGUGUGUGAUGUUCGAGGAUGAGCUGUGUCCUGAUGAUUCAGAGGUAGAAACAGCAGCAGUCAACAUCAGUGAUAUUUUAUUUCUUUGUCAUAACAGCAGCAUAAUGUAACAAGCUAAUCACUAAUGUAAAUAGUCUCUAUUAAAUGCCAUGAAUGUCUAAAUGCACCACCAACAUACAUAAAAUUAUUCCUUUGUCUUUAUUUAUUAUACAAAUGCAUUGUACUCUGUACAGUAACACAAUCACAACAACAAGUAACUGUUUAAUCCCAAAUCUCUUUCUCGUUGUGAGUAGUUUUGAAUAAACAACAUCUCUUUGUAAUCUAUGUUAUAGACAUUAGCCUAACUUGCCUUUAUGAAAAGAAAUGUAUUGGACAUGGUGUUAAAACAAACUAAAGAAACAAGACAUUAUGCUUGGAAAAUGCUGGAUUCUGUCCCUGAUUUAAAGUGAUCACUACAUAAGUCAAACCCGUUUCUUGAGGGAUCUCCCCACUCCGUUUUCUCGUUCUAUAGGCAGCCAACUUGAGCAUUGGUUUAUUCUCGUUAUUAUUUACUUUAAGGCUGGAAGCUUUAACUAAAUCCUUUGGGAUUUACGCCUUUUCUUUAUCUGUAGAUUAUAUUGUUAUCUUGGUGUCUUGUUAUUUUUAAAUUGUAAAUGAUUUGCAAAACAUGUCAAUGAAAAGAGAAUAAAUAAUAAAAUCUU